ACUCCUACGGGAGGCAGCAGUGGGGAAUAUUGCACAAUGGGGGAAACCCUGAUGCAGCGACGCCGCGUGAGCGAAGAAGUAUUUCGGUAUGUAAAGCUCUAUCAGCAGGGAAGAAAAUGACGGUACCUGACUAAGAAGCCCCGGCUAAAUACGUGCCAGCAGCCGCGGUAAU
rnacentral:rRNA from 1 species